rnacentral:rRNA from 1 species
AGUGAACGCUGGCGGUAGGCCUAACACAUGCAAGUCGAACGGCAGCACAGUAAGAGCUUGCUCUUACGGGUGGCGAGUGGCGGACGGGUGAGGAAUACAUCGGAAUCUACUUUUUCGUGGGGGAUAACGUAGGGAAACUUACGCUAAUACCGCAUACGACCUACGGGUGAAAGCAGGGGAGCUUCGGACCUUGCGCGAUUGAAUGAGCCGAUGUCGGAUUAGCUAGUUGGCGGGGUAAAGGCCCACCAAGGCGACGAUCCGUAGCUGGUCUGAGAGGAUGAUCAGCCACACUGGAACUGAGACACGGUCCAGACUCCUACGGGAGGCAGCAGUGGGGAAUAUUGGGCAAUGGGCGAAAGCCUGAUCCAGCCAUACCGCGUGGGUGAAGAAGGCCUUCGGGUUGUAAAGCCCUUUUGUUGGGAAAGAAAAGCAGCAGGUUAAUACCCCGCUGUUCUGACGGUACCCAAAGAAUAAGCCCCGGCUAACUUCGUG